rnacentral:rRNA from 1 species
UACGAAGGGGGCUAGCGUUGCUCGGAAUCACUGGGCGUAAAGGGUGCGUAGGCGGGUCUUUAAGUCAGGGGUGAAAUCCUGGAGCUCAACUCCAGAACUGCCUUCGAUACUGGAGACUUGAGUCCGGGAGAGGUGAGUGGAACUGCGAGUGUAGAGGUGAAAUUCGUAGAUAUUCGCAAGAACACCAGUGGCGAAGGUCGGCUCACUGGCCCGGUACUGACGCUGAGGUGCGAAAGCGUGGGGAGCAAACAGG